rnacentral:rRNA from 1 species
GACGAACGCUGGCGGCGUGCUUAACACAUGCAAGUCGAACGAUGAAGCCGGAGCUUGCUCUGGUGGAUUAGUGGCGAACGGGUGAGCAACACGUGAGUAACCUGCCCUUGACUCUGGGAUAAGCGUUGGAAACGACGUCUAAUACCGGAUACGAGCUAGGACCGCAUGGUCAUUAGCUGGAAAGAAUUUCGGUCAAGGAUGGACUCGCGGCCUAUCAGCUAGUUGGUGAGGUAAUGGCUCACCAAGGCGACGACGGGUAGCCGGCCUGAGAGGGUGACCGGCCACACUGGGACUGAGACACGGCCCAGACUCCUACGGGAGGCAGCAGUGGGGAAUAUUGCACAAUGGGCGCAAGCCUGAUGCAGCAACGCCGCGUGAGGGACGACGGCCUUCGGGUUGUAAACCUCUUUUAGCAGGGAAGAAGCGCAAGUGACGGUACCUGCAGAAAAAGCACCGGCUAACUACGUGCCAGCAGCCGCCGUAACAC